CUGGUAUAUGAUCUUGAACGUAAUUGGUCAAGUCUACAGUCAGAAAAUCGAUAAUUUGAUGUCCGACUUGUUGUAUCGUAGGUGGUGUUUACUGCUUUUUAUUCAACACAAAUAUUACAGUAAGUGCUAACUUUAUCUGGCUGUGUGAUCUUGCCCAUUUCAGAUAAAGUUUAUUGUGACAAUUCUUCAAGCCAUUAAUGAGGGCCGUCUAAGAAACCAAUCUCAGUUGCAUUUGUAUAAGCAAAUGCUGUACAAUUUGUCUUGAAGUGUGAGUGUACUGAUUACAAUAGAUUAAAUAUUAAAAUCAUACUUGUGUGAGUGCAUUGUCCUUCUAAAUGCAUUCCCUUAUCACUAUUGGGAGGCUGAUUUAAAGAUGGUUUAAUAUUUAUAUAGCUAUAUGUGCAAAAGUAUCUGAUAUCAUUGUACUAGAUAGGCACAUAUCCUUACAAGUACAAUAUACGCAAUAUAAGUAAUAUGGCACUUUGUCUACUUUUCUGAUUGACAAAUAUACUCCCUGCAUUCAUUUAUUGACCUUGCACAAUGCACUGUUACUUGUAGCGUGCAUGAAAUGGGGAACCCCAAGAAAAAACAACACAGCACUAUUUAUAGACAAUGUGUCAUUUGAACAUGAUAAAGUAUUUUUUAUAUGUACUCUGCUACACACACACACUCACUCACUCCUCCAAGCUGUCAACACCAGAGGUGAAUUGUUCGUAGCUGUUGUCAAGGCCUUUUGAUCGGGACCUCAUUAAUAAAAACAUUUUCCCCCCAUUUUUGUAUUUUUUUUUUAUGUCUGCCUUCAAGAUGGUGCCCCUCUCAGGACUGGUGCGAGACCCUUGAGGUGAGCGCAACCACAGCAGUUUCAGGAGCGUGUACAUCAGCCUGCUGUGCUGAGCACUGGUGUCUUGUUGCUCUUGUGCGUAGCGUUUAGUUAUCUUCACCCUCUGUACCACAGCAGCAUCAACAAGAUCAUCCUUCUUAGUGCAGCAGUAGAGGGUGUUGCCCCAGUGUACCAAUGCGCAGUCACACAGCUGCUCACAAAGGCCGGAGGGUGGACAGUGGAGGUUCACUGGUGAGCGUGAUGUGGGGCAGGACGGCAUCCAGCACAUCACCAUGUGUCUCCACGUCACUCUGUGGCCUAAGUGCGGAAUUGAAGUUGGGCGACAGAUCAUGGAUUCUACCCGCCACCAGAUGCAUGCGUUGGUAACGGGAGGGUGCUCUCCCUCCGUGUUGUGUUGAAAUUAACUCGCGCCACAACCUGCUCUGGGUCUUGUUGCAUUUUUUGCGGCUUCUCUCUGAUUUAAGAGGAAAGAAAGAGAAUACAGAUCAAGCUCCUUUGCCACUGGAUGGAAACAACGGGAACAACUCGCGUCACACCCUCUGCCCCCUGUACUUCUGUAUCCCAGAGGCAUGGGACGUGCUUGAGAGGGGAAACGUCUUUAGUGCGGACGUUGAGGGAAACACCCAUCAGCCUGUUUAGCCUGCCAGCUGAUUUAGCCUAAUAGUUUAUUGGCUUGCGAGUAUCAGUUAUGCUGUAAUUCCACGUUUCUCCGCUGGGUGGUGGGGGAGUCUCACUGUAACUCAAAUUAAACAUUUAAAUCUGAAAGCAUAGUACUUUCCAGAGCCCACGAUGUAAUGUUUGUGAUCGAUACACUUAUAUCUAUUAAUUUAAGAACUUUCCAGGGGGGGUCGGAUUCACUUAAACGUUUCUUUUAUAUACUCGUACCUGAUUGGUUGAGGGGAUGCUUCGUGUAACGUCUCAUCCAAAGCAUGUUCUUUAAGGACGAAACGUAGUGAUCUAGGGACUUUCAAACGCUGCAUGUAAUGGAAUGUGAAAAGAACAAAUCGUUGGACAUGCUCGUUAAGAGAAACGAGACUGGUUUCUUGAUUACCCUAAUCGUGAAGAUUACGGCGGGGGAAGUGGUCGUUCACGUUUCUUUCUGACCGGCAUCGCUUCUCGGCCUUUUGGCUAAGAUCAAGUGUAGUAUCUGUUCUUAUCAGUUUAAUAUCUGAUACGUCCCCUACCCGGGGACCAUAUAUUAAAUUGAUUUUUGGAACUGGGAGAUGGAAUAGGGGCUUGCUCCGUCCACUCCACGCAUCGACCUGGUAUUGCAGUACCUCCAGGAACGGUGCAC